GCGUCUGUAGCCUAGUUGGUAAAGGCAGCACUCUGGAUGCUGAGGUCAUGGGUUCGACUCCCAUUCAGAUGCG
rnacentral:tRNA from 1 species